AGGUCUUGCUGCUGAGAGAUUGCAGGAGAGGAGUGUGUCUCUCUAUGUACCAAGAAGAAAGAUGAGCAUGAAGGAGCACUUGAUGGAAGAGUGUGACUGAGGAUCAGAGGACAGUUCCCAGGCUGAAUCCAGGAAAGUUCAGAUGGCCCGUGGAAAUGAGGAGGGAUCUGAUCCAUGUUCCCUAGAUGGAAUUUCACAACUGAGUGAGUCAGUAGAAAAUGGAGAAUGCACUAGAUACCAGCUCAGCCUCAUUCGUUCUAGACAUGGGCCUUGAGUCAGUCCUCUUACCAUACAGGAAACAGAAGAAAGAAGCUAAUUAACAAACCAGGUCAUGCUGGUUUGCCAGAUUCCCUCCAAUGGAGUCUUGAGACCUCUAUCCUGUAAGUGACUUCAGAUUUUUAUUGUUUCCAGAAAAAUCAAAAAGCUCACAUAAGUACAUUUAAAGUAUGUAAAAGUGUACUGGUUUGGGCUGAGAUAGUCAUUUUUUUUUUUUUUUCAUAGCAGCCCUUGGGGUGCUGUGUUCUGGAUUUGUGACCAACAACAUUGAUAAGAGCCCAAGGUUUUUAGCUGGUGCUGAGCAGUGCUCGCACAGACUCUGGAUGUUCCCUACUUCUCGGGCUACCCUGCCAGUGAGGAGGCUGGGGAUGCACAAGGAGCUGGGAGGGGACACAGGUGGGACAGCGGCCCCCAGCUGGUCCAAGGAGCAUUCCCUACCGGUAUAGCCGUGUAACUCAGCCCGCAAGUUUUCUCACUUUGCCCCGUACCACUUGGGGGAGAAAGCGAGCAGCUGUGUACAGUUUAGCUGCCUACCCGGGUUAAUCCACAACAAAAUGCUAUUAAUCUUUAUUUAUCAAAGGUAACAUUGAGUUCAGACCAGUGUAUUUUCCUUGCAGUCAAGCAUCUAUGGUAUUACAAUAAUUGUUUUUGAAAAUGUUAGUAUGAAUAUACUCAUGCACACUGUUGUAAAACAGGAUAUGAUGAGCACAGUGACAAUCUCGGUUAUACUAAAGGAAAAGGAUCUGAGCAUAUAAAUAGGCCACUGGUCAAAGUAUUGUUACUGUUUCUUAAUAAACCUUUCAAACAGGUCAGGCAUCCCUGGGUCAUGCCACACUUAAUUUUACCAAGCAGAACACGAAGAUGGCUCUGCAAUUGCCUGGCAUUCAUCCGUCUGGCACCGUGCUGGCAUGUGCCUAUUUGAUCAGAUAUGGUGUUUAUGACAAAGGAGUCAGGUUUGAAGUUGUCAGUUAACCCAACUAUCGUCACUGAAUGACCUAAAUCUUACUAACUUAACUUCAAGCCUGUCCCCUAGUUCCUGACUGGUGUGCCCAGGCUGGAAACACACAGAAAAUAGAGGACUAUCAAAUAUGCACCGCUAUUUCUCCAGCAAUAUAAAAGGAGGAACAAAGACUGCCAGUUGACUGAUAUUUACCUUGCAGUUACACUUGCAUACAUACAUAAUUUAAAGUAAUACGCUGCUUCAGGAGCUUCUCUUUCCCUGGAAUCUCUUCCGAGCCCUAAAAGGAACCUGACUACAAAUGGCUUGUGCUCAGAAGGUUUUCGUAUUGCUUUAAGGUGGCUUCCAAACAUGAAGGCAAAAAAAAUCAUCAGUUGUUUGUUAAAAAUGUGUAUCUGUCCAUCUAAAACAUACAUUUGCUGCUAAGGGCACAGCAUAUAAGUAAAUCACAUUUUAAGCAUCAAAUCCCUUUUAUUCGCUGAAUCCUUGGGCACAUUUUAAUACUGCAAUGCUAGCAUUUUAAGUGUAUUUUUGUGAGGUCUCUAGAGCACUGUCGUAGAUAGGCAUCAUAUAAGUAACAUUUAUUGUUAUUAUCAUUGUAUGUUGUAUUC